AGGUAAACAGGGUUAACAAGGUCUUACGGAAGCUGACGAGAGGAGAACGGGUGAGUAAUACAUCGGAACGUGCCCGAUCGUGGGGGAUAACGAAGCGAAAGCUUUGCUAAUACCGCAUACGAUCUACGGAUGAAAGCAGGGGACCGCAAGGCCUUGCGCGAACGGAGCGGCCGAUGGCAGAUUAGGUAGUUGGUGGGAUAAAAGCUUACCAAGCCGACGAUCUGUAGCUGGUCUGAGAGGACGACCAGCCACACUGGGACUGAGACACGGCCCAGACUCCUACGGGAGGCAGCAGUGGGGAAUUUUGGACAAUGGGCGAAAGCCUGAUCCAGCCAUGCCGCGUGCAGGAUGAAGGCCUUCGGGUUGUAAACUGCUUUUGUACGGAACGAAAAGACUCUGGUUAAUACCUGGGGUCCAUGACGGUACCGUAAGAAUAAGCACCGGCUAACUACGUGCCAGCAGCCGCGGUAAUUA
rnacentral:rRNA from 1 species